GACCGUGGAGGCCGGGUGCAGCCCCGUCGGCUCCGUGCUCUCGGCAGAAAAGGAUUUUCUACGCCCCCCGCCCAUCACUUGGAUCUUGUCUGGGGAGGGGUGGGAUCUUUUUCUGGAAGUCCCCCCCCCGCCCCGCGGUGAAGGAUUUGAGGCUGGGCUCCAAUCGAGGCGGAGGCUGCAGGGCCCGCGGGCGCCCCCCGCCCCGCGCACGCCUCCCGGGAGCCCAGGAAGGCGCAGCCCCGGGGGGCCCCCCUGCGCCCCCGGAGGAGGCAGCGGCGCUACUGCCCAAUGCCCAUCAAGAGCACAUGGGUGGGGGAGCCCGUUUCCAUGGCCUCGCCCACCCCAGCAAGGACGCAGUGUGUCAGGGGAAAAAAAGUCCCAAAUGAGUUGCAGAUAAACCUGCCAGUAAUUUUAGUGAACGAGGCGUGGAGCACAUAAAGGCCAGAAGAUGGAAAACACUCCGGGUUUGAUAAAAGGAGUUCUGCUCGGCUCAGAAUCCUCCCUCCUGCUAGUCCCGCUGAGAUCUAUCCGGAGAGGGUCUGACGGAUUGAGGAAAAAGAAAUGAGACCAACGUGAGUCUCCUUUCAAGGGCUGUGCUAAUACAAAACCAAACAACUUGAAAUUGUUCCAAGAGGGGAUUAAAGCAACAUGUUAUUUUGAGUGAUUGCUUAAUUUAUUGAGCUGCGGCUAGAUCUGUAACAAAAUACAGCCCUUGCAACUGAUAACCUCCUGCUGCAAUUGAACUUCUACAAUUAAGGAACAUUUUCCAAGAGUUUCUCUGGAACGGCUUCGAAUUUUUAGUCUCUGUGGUGGGGUGCUUCUGAGCACUCAAUUUCUGGGCAUGUUUUUGUGUUGCUGUUUUUGUUUUUUAAAGAGUGACAGGCUGAUGUUAAUAAGGAAAGGAAGCAGCCUUUCAUUGAAUGCCUUGUCUUCACCAUGUGCUUAAUAUACAUUAUCUCUAAUCCUGACAACAGCUCAGCGAAGUAACUCUUAUUAGUCCCUAUUUUACAGAUAUGAAGCUUGUAGCUGUUAAGUCAUUUUCCAGAGUGGCGCUGUCCAAGACUGUAGCUCCUAGUCAUAUGUGGCUAUUUUUGUGUAAAUUAGCUAAGAGUUAAAAAAUCUGAACAUUCACUGCCUGGGUUGCACCAGCAACUAGUUCACUGGGGCCAGUGGCUACCACAUUGCACAGCAGAGAUACAGACCAUUUUGAUUACUGCAGAAAGUUCGAGGGAUUGGUGCUCUUUCAGUGAUUUCAGAGGCAGGAACUGGGAGUGCCAGGAUUCAAACCCAAGCUUCUUCGAAGGAAGCAUUAUUAUCACCCCUGGCUUCUUUCUUCUCUUCCUUUGGCUGAGAAGCAGGGACUAGAGCAGUGAUUCGAAACCCUGGGUACACAUUAAAAUAACCCAGACUGCUUUAAAAAACAAUACUGAUGUGAGGGUCCCGGCCCCAGGGAUUCUGACUUAAUUGUGAUCGGGAGGGUUUUGUUUUUUUUUAAGUCCUCAUGUGAUUCAAGUGUGCAGGCAGGAUUGGGAGCAGCCAGACAAGAGGAUCCACACACAGGAUGGGGGAAGGAACUGGUUCAUCUCCCGUGAGAACAUGGCCCCCUUGUGGACCCAGAAGGGGGCUUCCCCCGGGACCAGCUCUAAACGUCCUCCUCAGAGAGCUCAGGUUCAUGUCUGAGCGGACAGACGGAAGUGCUUUCUCACAUGCUUCUUGCUCGAGGGGACACACAACAAAGAGCUCUGCUUUUAGAAGCAGCCUUUGUCACACUGUCCUGGAAGAAAGGAGUUGCGAACGCAGAAUCAGAGAGACAGAGUGAAAACCCCAUAGCCCCAGAUUUGAAUGGAAAGUAUCUGGGUGAAAUCCUGUUGUAUUUUGCCUGACAAAAUGAAGGGUGUGUUUCUGACCACGUCUCCUGAAAAGGGGAGAAAGAGUGACCAGUUCAGCAGCUAUCUAAGCACGCCCAGCACGCACAUUAUGGUCUCUAAACACCACUUUUAACCAGAAACCAGGGCUCUGUGGAGAUAUGGCUGAUUCCAGGUGUGAGGCAGGAAAUGUACAAGGUGAGCCUGGAACAUCUGGUCACGCGGGUCACACGGGGCUGUCAGAGACUUCCGGGAUCAUGUCAAAAAGGACACGGGACAGUGUGAAGAGGAUCCCACUGGCCAAGGAUGGGACAAUUUGAGUAUCACUAAGAGUAAUAACUGUCAUGGAUUAAAACAUGUCAUAUACAUCCAAAUCUAUGAGGUCACCAAGAUAUUUAAAAAAAUAGAAAAAUAGGGGCACCUGGGUGGCUCAGUCGGUUAAGCAUCUGCCUUCAGCUCAGGUC